rfam:Myotis lucifugus cont2.4811, whole genome shotgun sequence.
GAGACACCCUUCUGGGGCAAGACUUGCUUCAGUGGGGCUUUGGUGCUCACUGAGUCUGCUCCCUGAGUGUGUCCCU